rnacentral:rRNA from 1 species
AGCGCAGGCGGUUUCUUAAGUCUGAUGUGAAAGCCUUCGACUCAACCGAAGAAGUGCAUCGGAAACUGGGAAACUUGAGUGCAGAAGAGGACAGUGGAACUCCAUGUGUAGCGGUGAAAUGCGUAGAUAUAUGGAAGAACACCAGUGGCGAAGGCGGCUGUCUGGUCUGUAACUGACGCUGAGGCUCGAAAGCAUGGGUAGCAAACA